rnacentral:rRNA from 1 species
UGGUUGUCGUCAGCUCGUGUCGUGAGAUGUGGGUUAAGUCCCGCAACGAGCGCAACCCUCGACCUUAGUUGCCAGCAUUCAGUUGGGCACUCUAAGGUGACUGCCGGCUAAAAGUCGGAGGAAGGUGGGGAUGACGUCAAAUCAUCAUGCCCCUUAUGACCUGGGCUACACACGUGCUACAAUGGGCGGUACAACGAGUUGCGAGUCGGUGACGGCGAGCUAAUCUCUUAAAGCCAAUCUCGGUUCGGAUUGUAGGCUGCAACUCGCCUACAUGAAGUCGGAAUCGCUAGUAAUCGCGGAUCAGCACGCCGCGGUGAAUACGUUCCCGGGCCUU